UACAACAUUAUUUAUCUGGAUGUAGAGUUUUCAGUCUCUCUCGACUCCUUCUGGAUCUGCAGAAUCACCCACCAUCACAAUCAGUCCUUUCCUCUCAUUUGAUGAAAUUACAGAGUCUGUAUCUCAGCUGAGAAAGAAAGUAAAAGAAUUCUGGAAAGAGCAGUUUGAGAAGAUACCAGAUGAAGUGAAGGAAGUUAUUAUUAUUUCACCUCCUGAACCUGAAAUCAGAGAAGAUUUUCUACAGUAUUGCAGUCGGUUCACACUGGAUCCAAAAACAGUAAAUAAAAACCUCCAUCUGUCUGAGAAGAACAAAGUGGUGACCUGGAGUGAAACAUUACAGUCGUAUCCUGGUCAUCCAGAUUUGAUUAUUACUCUCAGGUUCUGUGUAGAGAGAGUGUGAGUGGACGCUGUUACUGGGAGGUUGAGUGGAGUGGGAAUG